AGUCGCAGCCAGUUCCCGUUCCGGGCCCGCGAGGCGGCCACCCCGGUCCUGCCCCUCCCUCGCGCUACUGCGGGAGCAGCGUCCUCCCGGGCCACGGCGCUUCCCGGCCCCGGCGUCCCCGGACCAUGGCGCUCUCCGGGCUCUUCUCUAGCUCUCAGCGGCUGCGAAGUCUGUAAACCUGGUGGCCAAGGACAGUCAGUUGCAUGUCACACAAGGGGCCUCCUUUGAUUUAUCCAAAAGGUCUGACCUGGUUUCUGGAAAAACUCUUUAGCGCAUCAAAUACUCGUUGAGGGCAAGUGUUGUUUCUAAACCUGACUCUUGUGGUGAGAGGUGAUUGUAAGUCAGGAGACUUUCCUUCGGUUUCUGCCUUUGAUGGCAAGAGAUGGAGAUGUCUGUGGCGGUGAUUACAGAAAACGUCUGGGAAGACAAGUCACUGUUUUUAUGGGAAUCGCAGGCUUGGAAGAGACAGAAGCAAUUCCAGAAAGAAAUUGGAAAUUGAAGAUUUAAACAAUGUUGUUUUAAAAUAUUCUAACUUCAAAGAAUGAUGCCAGAAACUUAAAAAGGGGCUGCGCAGAGUAGCAGGGGCCCUGGAGGGCGGGGCCUGAAUCCUGAUUGCCCUUCUGCUGAGAGGACACACGCAGCUGAAGAUGAAUUUGGGAAAAGUAGCCGCUUGCUACUUUAACUAUGGAAGAGCAGGGCCACAGUGAGAUGGAAAUAAUCCCAUCAGAGUCUCACCCCCACAUUCAAUUACUGAAAAGCAAUCGGGAACUUCUGGUCACUCACAUCCGCAACACUCAGUGUCUGGUGGACAACUUGCUGAAGAAUGACUACUUCUCGGCCGAAGAUGCGGAGAUUGUGUGUGCCUGCCCCACCCAGCCCGACAAGGUCCGCAAAAUUCUGGACCUGGUACAGAGCAAGGGCGAGGAGGUGUCCGAGUUCUUCCUCUACUUGCUCCAGCAACUCGCAGAUGCCUAUGUGGACCUCAGGCCUUGGCUGCUGGAGAUCGGCUUCUCCCCUUCCCUGCUCACUCAGAGCAAAGUCGUGGUCAACACUGACCCAGUGAGCAGGUAUACCCAGCAGCUGCGACACCAUCUGGGCCGUGACUCCAAGUUCGUGCUGUGCUAUGCCCAGAAGGAGGAGCUGCCGCUGGAGGAGAUCUACAUGGACACCAUCAUGGAGCUGGUUGGCUUCAGCAAUGAGAGCCUGGGCAGCCUGAACAGCCUGGCCUGCCUCCUGGACCACACCACCGGCAUCCUCAAUGAGCAGGGUGAGACCAUCUUCAUCCUGGGUGAUGCUGGGGUGGGCAAGUCCAUGCUGCUGCAGCGGCUGCAGAGCCUCUGGGCCACGGGCCGGCUAGACACAGGGGUCAAAUUCUUCUUCCACUUUCGCUGCCGCAUGUUCAGCUGCUUCAAGGAGAGUGACAGGCUGUGUCUGCAGGACCUGCUCUUCAAGCACUACUGCUACCCAGAGCGGGACCCCGAGGAGGUGUUUGCCUUCCUGCUGCGCUUCCCCCACGUGGCCCUCUUCACCUUCGAUGGCCUGGACGAGCUGCACUCGGACUUGGACCUGAGCCGUGUGCCUGACAGCUCCUGCCCCUGGGAGCCUGCCCACCCCCUGGUCUUGCUGGCCAACCUGCUCAGUGGGAAGCUGCUCAAGGGGGCUAGCAAGCUGCUCACGGCCCGCACAGGCAUCGAGGUCCCGCGCCAGUUCCUGCGGAAGAAGGUGCUUCUCCGGGGCUUCUCCCCCAGCCACCUGCGCGCCUAUGCCAGGAGGAUGUUCCCCGAGCGGGCCCUGCAGGACCGCCUGCUGAGCCAGCUGGAGGCCAACCCCAACCUCUGCAGCCUGUGCUCUGUGCCCCUCUUCUGCUGGAUCAUCUUCCGGUGCUUCCAGCACUUCCGUGCUGCCUUUGAAGGCUCACCACAGCUGCCCGACUGCACGAUGACCCUGACAGAUGUCUUCCUCCUGGUCACCGAGGUCCAUCUGAACAGGAUGCAGCCCAGCAGCCUGGUGCAGCGGAACACACGCAGCCCAGUGGAGACCCUCCACGCCGGCCGGGACACUCUGUGCUCGCUGGGGCAGGUGGCCCACCGGGGCAUGGAGAAGAGCCUCUUUGUCUUCACCCAGGAGGAGGUGCAGGCCUCCGGGCUGCAGGAGAGAGACAUGCAGCUGGGCUUCCUGCGGGCUUUGCCGGAGCUGGGCCCCAGGGGUGACCAGCAGUCCUAUGAGUUUUUCCACCUCACCCUCCAGGCCUUCUUUACAGCCUUCUUCCUCGUGCUGGACGACAGGGUGGGUACUCAGGAGCUGCUCAGGUUCUUCCAGGAGUGGAUGCCCCCUGCGGGGGCAGCGACCACGUCCUGCUAUCCUCCCUUCCUCCCGUUCCAGUGCCUGCAGGGCAGUGGUCCGGCGCGGGAAGACCUCUUCAAGAACAAGGAUCACUUCCAGUUCACCAACCUCUUCCUAUGCGGGCUGUUGUCCAAAGCCAAACAGAAACUCCUGCGGCACCUGGUGCCCGCGGCGGCCCUGAGGAGGAAGCGCAAGGCCCUGUGGGCACACCUGUUUUCCAGCCUGCGGGGCUACCUGAAGAGCCUGCCCCGCGUUCAGGUCGAAAGCUUCAACCAGGUGCAGGCCAUGCCCACGUUCAUCUGGAUGCUGCGUUGCAUCUACGAGACACAGAGCCAGAAGGUGGGGCAGCUGGCGGCCAGGGGCAUCUGUGCCAACUACCUCAAGCUGACCUACUGCAACGCCUGCUCGGCCGACUGCAGCGCUCUCUCCUUCGUCCUGCAUCACUUCCCCAAGCGGCUGGCCCUAGACCUAGACAACAACAAUCUCAACGACUACGGCGUGCGGGAGCUGCAGCCCUGCUUCAGCCGCCUCACUGUUCUCAGACUCAGCGUAAACCAGAUCACUGACAGUGGGGUAAAGGUGCUAAGCGAAGAGCUGACCAAAUACAAAAUUGUGACCUAUUUGGGGUAUGUCUUUCUCCAGAACACUGGGCCAACUACCUAGUCAUAAUACAGAGCUGCAGGGAAUUCACAUUCCUGUAGGUCCCUGGAUGAUCGGCACGGAUGGCCCAGGGCUGGGAAGAGCGCUGGCCCAGGAGUUGAGAGUCCUGGGUUCUCUCUGUGGCUCGGCUAGUCAUGAAGUCUUGCUGAGCCUCAGCCUCCUCACCUGUAAAACUGGGAUCCCAGUAUAGUUUAUACAACAACCAGAUCACCGAUGUCGGAGCCAGGUACGUCACCAAAAUCCUGGAUGAAUGCAAAGGCCUCACGCAUCUUAAACUGGGAAAAAACAAAAUAACAAGUGAAGGAGGGAAGUAUCUCGCCCUGGCUGUGAAGAACAGCAAAUCAAUCUCUGAGGUUGGAUGGGGCAACUGAGGUCCAAGAGACUACAUAAUUUCCCGAAGUUCACACAGGUAGCAGAUGGCAGAGCCAGGUCAGGAGUCCACCAUCUUACCACGCAGACUGUUUUAGCCAGAGACUCUCCGGAUCUGCUGUAGGGGACAGAAUACAGCUUUAUCGCCGCACCUGUCCACCAAGAUGGCCACAGCCACAGAGCUUGGUUGGGAUGUGGGGCAAUCAAGUUGGGGAUGAAGGAGCAAAAGCCUUCGCAGAGGCUCUGCGGAACCACCCCAGCUUGACCACCCUGAGUCUUGCGUCCAACGGCAUCUCCACAGAAGGAGGAAAGAGCCUUGCGAGGGCCCUGCAGCAGAACACGUCUCUAGAAAUACUGUGGCUGACCCAAAACGAACUCAACGAUGAAGUGGCAGAGAGUUUGGCAGAAAUGUUGAAAGUCAACCAGACGUUAAAGCAUUUAUGGCUUAUCCAGAAUCAGAUCACAGCUAAGGGGACUGCCCAGCUGGCAGAUGCGUUACAGAGCAACACUGGCAUAACAGAGAUUUGCCUAAAUGGAAACCUGAUAAAACCAGAGGAGGCCAAAGUCUAUGAAGAUGAGAAGCGGAUUAUCUGUUUCUGAGAGGAUGCUUUCCUGUGCAUGGGGUUUUUGCCCUGGAGCCUCAGCAGCAAAUGCCACUCUGGGCAGUCUUUUGUGUCAGUGUCUUAAAGGGGCCUGCGCAGGCGGGACUAUCAGGAGUCCACUGCCUCCAUGAUGCAAGCCAGCUUCCUGUGCAGAAGGUCUGGUCGGCAAACUCCCUAAGUACCCGCUACAAUUCUGCAGAAAAAGAAUGUGUCUUGUGAGCUGUUGUAGUUACAGUAAAUACACUGUGAAGAGACUUUAUUGCCUAUUAUAAUUAUUUUUAUCUGAAGCUAAAGGAAUAAAGCUGUGAGCAAACAGAGGAGGCCAGCCUCAGCUCAUUCCAACACCUGCCAUAGGGACCAACGGGAGCGAGUUGGUCACCGCUGUUUUCAUUGAAGAGUUGAGGAUGUGGCACAAAGUUGGUGCCAAGCUUCUUGAAUAAAACGUGUUUGAUGGAUUAGUAUUAUACCUGAAAUAUUUUCUUCUUUCUCAGCACUUUCCCAUGUAUUGAUACUGGUCCCACUUCACAGCUGGAGACACUGGAGUAUGUGCAAUGUGGGAUUUGACUCCUCCAAGGUUUUGUGGAAAGUUAAUGUCAAGGAAAGGAUGCACCACGGGCUUUUAAUUUUAAUCCUGGAGUCUCACUGUCGGCUGGCAAAGAUAGAGAAUGCCCUCAGCUCUUAGCUGGUCUAAGAAUGACGAUGCCUUCAAAAUGCUGCUUCCACUCAGGGCUUCUCCUCUGCUAGGCUACCCUCCUCUAGAAGGCUGAGUACCAUGGGCUACAGUGUCUGGCCUCGGGAAGAAGUGAUUCUGUCCCUCCAAAGAAAUAGGGCAUGGCUUGCCUUUGUGGCCCUGGCAUCCAAAUGGCUGCUUUUGUCUCCCUUACCUCGUGAAGAGGGGAAGUCUCUUCCUGCCUCCCAAGCAGCUGAAGGGUGACUAAACUGGCGCCAAGACUCAGGGGAUCGGCUGGGAACUGGGCCAGCAGAGCAUGUUGGACACCCCCCACCAUGGUGGGCUUGUGGUGGCUGCUCCAUGAGGGUGGGGGUGAUAUUACUAGAUCACUUGUCCUCUUGCCAGCUCAUUUGUUAAUAAAAUACUGAAAACACU